ACGAACGCUGGCGGCGUGCUUAACACAUGCAAGUCGAGCGGUAAGGCCCUUUCGGGGGUACACGAGCGGCGAACGGGUGAGUAACACGUGGGUGACCUGCCCUCAGCUCUGGGAUAAGCCUGGGAAACUGGGUCUAAUACCGGAUAUGACUUCGCAUCGCAUGGUGUGGGGUGGAAAGUUUUUCGGCUGGGGAUGGGCCCGCGGCCUAUCAGCUUGUUGGUGGGGUGAUGGCCUACCAAGGCGACGACGGUAGCCAGCCUGAGAGGGCGACCGGCCACACUGGGACUGAGACACGGCCCAGACUCCUACGGGAGGCAGCAGUGGGGAAUAUUGCGCAAUGGGCGGAAGCCUGACGCAGCGACGCCGCGUGGGGAUGACG
rnacentral:rRNA from 1 species